ensembl:ncRNA lncRNA:sphinx long non-coding RNA:sphinx
AUACUGAUAUUUUAAAUCAGUAACUCGCAAGUGAUCUCAAUCGAUAAGUUUUCGCUAUCGCUUUAAUGUGGGAACAUAUGUACAUUGUAUAUUCUAUAAUGAAAGUAAAGAACAUAAAAAAUCAAACUUCGUAUAUUUGUGGCAAUCGUUCGAAGAAAUGUUCAAUUUUAAGACUUUUGAUAUGCCCUUUGAAAUCACUUCCCUAGUGUUUAGAAAUGUGUAGUAUUUACACGAAUCAGGUGAAACAUAUCUCUUCUAAACCGAUGACUAAAACAUACAAAUAGCGUCCACCAGGAUGAUUACUAGCCGAGAGUACUAUUAAUGCGAGUUGUUUUGUUUAUUCCACUUUAAGAUUCCUGUAGUGGUAUAAAGUAAGUGCCGGCCCUUCUCCAUCUGUAAGUAAGUGUUACAAUUUUUGGCAUCGGGUGAGUAUGUAAGUAUGUACAUAAAUGCAUGUGCUUCACACUUGCGACUAUGUACAUAGGUGCACAUGUACAUAUAUUAACAAUAAGCUUUGAGUGGAAUAUUCACCUAAUAUAAUUUAUGUGUAUGCAUUGGUUUUUUCUUGAAUGUUCGACAUAUUCACAAAUUUGCUUUACACAUUUGCUUAAAGAAAUUAAGUAAAUAAAUAAAUUAUUAAUAAAUUAGUGUAAUAUUUCAAGAAGACCGAUGUCCAUCAGAGGUUUGAUAAGCCUCGCCAGGAGCAUUGUCAAAGUCACCUGGGGAUGUACCAAACAAGUGUGUAAAAAGUUUUUUGACAAACUGUACAUACUGUCAGUAUCGAAGGAACGCGGUGUCAUUUGGUGACUAUCCAGGUGAGUACAACCCCAAGGUGCACGGGCCCUAAGACCCCGCUCGCUUCUACGGUAAAGCCUGGCUGGGACGCCGCAACAAGACGCCCAACGCUGUGGCCGGAGCCGUGAACCGUGCAUGCUGGCGCUGGCAGUACAACUACGUGUUCCCGAAGCGCGCCGUGAUCGCUCCCUUCUUCCAGCUGACCGUCGCCAGCAUGACGUUCUUCUGUCUGAUUAACUACACCAAGUUGAAGCACCACAGGAACUACAAUACCACUAAGGGUCGCUGCCCAGUGGUCCUGCAUCUACAACAGAUUCUACACUUUCCACAAGACGUGCCAGAGGCGGGCAGCACUAAACUAUAUCUAUUUGGCUUUUGUGUUUUGAAAACUGCUAAAGUGAAUAAAAUGGCUGUGAAUAUCCAUGCUGCCAUAGACUCAG